rnacentral:rRNA from 1 species
AGUGAACGCUGGCGGUAGGCCUAACACAUGCCAGUCGAACGGCAGCACAGGAGAGCUUGCUCUCUGGGUGGCGAGUGGCGGACGGGUGAGGAAUACAUCGGAAUCUACCUUUUCGUGGGGGAUAACGUAGGGAAACUUACGCUAAUACCGCAUACGACCUACGGGUGAAAGUGGGGGACCGCAAGGCCUCACGCGAUUAGAUGAGCCGAUGUCCGAUUAGCUAGUUGGCGGGGUAAUGGCCCACCAAGGCGACGAUCGGUAGCUGGUCUGAGAGGAUGAUCAGCCACACUGGAACUGAGACACGGUCCAGACUCCUACGGGAGGCAGCAGUGGGGAAUAUUGGACAAUGGGCGCAAGCCUGUUCCAGCCAUACCGCGUGGGUGAAGAAGGCCUUCGGGUUGUAAAGCCCUUUUGUUGGGAAAGAAAUCCUGUCGAUUAAUACUCGGUGGGGAUGACGGUACCCAAAGAAUAAGCACCGGCUAACUUCGUG